rnacentral:rRNA from 1 species
GUGCAGCAGGCGAGAAUACUUUACAAUGCGGGAAACCGUGAUAAGGGAACCUCGAGUGCUGGCGCAUAGCGUCGGCUGUCCAGAUGCCUAAAAAGCAUCUGAUAGCAAGGGCCGGGCAAGACCGGUGCCAGCCGCCGCGGUAACACCGGCGGCUCGAGUGGUGGCCACGUUUAUUGGGUCUAAAGCGUCCGUAGCCGGCUCGGCAAGUCCCCUGGGAAAUCUGGCGGCUCAACCGUCAGGCGUCCAGAGGAUACUGCUGGGCUUGGGACCGGGAGAGGUGAGAGGUACCUCGAGGGGUAGGGUGAAAUC